rnacentral:rRNA from 1 species
CCUACGGGAGGCUGCAGUGAGGAAUAUUGGUCAAUGGACGAGAGUCUGAACCAGCCAAGUAGCGUGAAGGAUGACUGCCCUAUGCGUUGUAAACUUCUUUUAUCAAGGAAUAAAACGAGGCACGUGUGCCUUUGUGCAUGUACUUUAUGAAUAAGGAUCGGCUAACUCCGUGCCAGCAGCCGCGGUAAUACGGAGGCUCCGAGCGUUAUCCGGAUUUAUUGGGUUUAAAGGGAGCGUAGAUGGGUUGUUAAGUCAGUUGUGAAAGUUUGCGGCUCAACCGUAAAAUUGCAAUUGAUACUGGCAGUCUUGAGUACAGUUGAGGUAGGCGGAAUUCGUGGUGUAGCGGUGAAAUGCUUAGAUAUCACGAAGAACCCCGAUUGCGAAGGCAGCUUACUAAACUGUGACUGACAUUGAUGCUCGAAAGUGUGGGUAUCAAACAGGAUUAGAUACCCUAGUAGUC